AGGCUUUCAACGAGGGCGAAGCCAGCGACCUUACGGCAUUUUUAUAAUUAGGUCAGCUGUUCUACCCUGAAGUGUAAUCACGAGAGAACAAUAUGACUCAGAGGGUUUUCCACUUGAAGCGACCUCCUUCCUUCCCUCUCCGGUCCGCCAGGCAUCGAAGAAUUCCUACAUUGACACCCGGACAACCUUAGAUGGUAAACAUGACGCAAUUUGGUGCAGACACGACGGCGCCCAGACACGGCUUUGCAAACUCCUGAAAACAAAAAAGGUUUCUCUCUCUAUCCACUUUGCGUUUUCCCACCAGCGCUUGUCUGGAAAGGAGGAGGGCUUAGGCGCCCGAGUUCGAUGUCUUCAGUUCAGUGUUUUUGUUAUGGU